UCUAUAGCUACACCACCCUGGACGCUCCUGCUUGCAUGUGAGCUCAAAAGCUAAGCAGGGUUGACCUGGUCAGUACUUGGAUGGGAGACAGCUAACCCAAACUUCCUGUUUGACCCAGUGACUUUCAGAA
ensembl:rRNA 5S_rRNA 5S ribosomal RNA